UGGGGAAUCUUCCGCAAUGGGCGCAAGCCUGACGGAGCAACGCCGCGUGAGUGAAGAAGGUCUUCGGAUCGUAAAGCUCUGUUGAUGGGGACGAACGUGCCUAAUGCGAAUAGUAUUAGGUAAUGACGGUACCCAUCGAGGAAGCCACGGCUAACUACGUGCCAGCAGCCGCGGUAAUACGUAGGUGGCGAGCGUUGUCCGGAAUCAUUGGGCGUAACGGGAGCGCAGGCGGGCAUGUAAGUCUUUCUUAAAAGUGCGGGGCUCAACCCCGUGAUGGGAAAGAAACUAUGUGUCUUGAGUACAGGAGAGGAAAGCGGAAUUCCCAGUGUAGCGGUGAAAUGCGUAGAUAUUGGGAGGAACACCAGUGGCGAAGGCGGCUUUCUGGACUGCAACUGACGCUGAGGCUCGAAAGCCAGGGGAGCGAACGGG
rnacentral:rRNA from 1 species